rnacentral:misc_RNA from 1 species
GAUGAAGAACGCAGCGAAAUGCGAUAAGUAAUGUGAAUUGCAGAAUUCAGUGAAUCAUCGAAUCUUUGAACGCACAUUGCGCCCGUCAGUAUUCUGGCGGGCAUGCCUGUUCGAGCGUCAUUACGCCCCUCAAGUCCCCUGUGGACUUGGUGUUGGGGAUCGGCGAGGCUGGUUUUCCAGCACAGCCGUCCCUUAAAUUAAUUGGCGGUCUCGCCGUGGCCCUCCUCUGCGCAGUAGUAAAACACUCGCAACAGGCGCCCGGCGCGGUCCACUGCCGUAAAACCCCCCAACUUUUUAUAGUUGACCUCGAAUCAGGUAGGACUACCCGCUGAACUUAAGCAUAUCAAUAAGCGGAGGA